rnacentral:rRNA from 1 species
UACGGAAGGGGCGAGCGUUGUUCGGAAUCAUUGGGCGUAAAGGGCGCGUAGGUGGUUCUGUAUGUCUACCGUGAAAGCGUACGGCUCAACCGUAUUUUGUCGGUAGAAACUGCAGGACUUGAGGCUGGGAGGGGCUGGUGGAAUUCCCUGUGUAGCGGUGAAAUGCGUAGAUAUCGAGAGGAACACCUGCGGCGAAGGCGGGUUGCUGGGCUGACACUGACGCUGAACUGCGAAAGCUAGGGGAGCGAACGGG